rnacentral:rRNA from 1 species
UACCUGCAGCUCGAGUGGUAACCGCUAUUAUUGGGCCUAAAGCGUCCGUAGCCGGUUUGGUAAAUAUCUGGGUAAAUCGUGAGGCUUAACUUCACGAAUUUCGGAUAGACUGCCAGACUUGGGAUCGGGGGAGGUCAGAGGUACUCCAGGGGUAGCGGUGAAAUGUUGUAAUCCUUGGAGGACCACCGGUAGCGAAGGCGUCUGACUAGAACGAGUCCGACGGCGAGGGACGAAGCCCUGGGGCGCAAACCGGAUUAGAUACCCGGGUAGUCCAGGGUGUAAACGAUGUGGGCUUUGUAUUGGAGGUCCCACGUGGGCGUCCAGUGCAGAAGAGAAGUUGUUAAGCCCACCGCCUGGGAAGUACGGUCGCAAGGCUGAAACUUAAAGGAAUUGGCGGGGAGCACAGCAACGGGAGGAGCGUGCGGUUU